ensembl:lncRNA
UCUAGACUUACCAGGUUUCAACAACAUCUAGUUCAAAAUGGCACUGUCCCCUCUGAAACAAGAAAACACUGGAGUGCAGAAAACAGCAGGAUGUGAUGAGGCAGACAAAAGAACUGAUAUUUACAGCUCUAGAGCGCGUAAUGGAUAUGUGCAGUCCAGGUUGGUGCCUGAAACUCAUCCCUGCUCUGCCUCUGGUGAGCAACAGUAGAAAAAGUCUACAACCCUUCUUUUCUACACCAUCUACAGAGCUGAAAGAGGAACAGACUCAGCAUAUCAAUCAAUCCUUGCUCUACCGUCAUGUAUCUUCUACGGAUCCUUGACAUCUCAUCUUUAAUUUUCAUUGUUUGUAGCAGUUAAUAUGUUGUUUUAACUUUAUUGCCUCCAAGAUAUUCAAUCCCAGAGUUUGCUGACUUCCAAUCUGCAAGUUUGAAGUAAUGUUGAGUCUAAAUUUUUGACCAUUU